AGAUGCUGCCAGACCUGCUGAACUUUUCAGCAACUUCUGUUUUUGUUACAAUUUUGUAUACCUCUAUCGUAUCUUCCCUCAAUCUUUGUUCCAAUAUUAACAAUCCCAGACUAUCUAACCAACACUUGUAUCUGUAACUGAAAUCUCCCCUUCCUGGAAACAUUUUGGUAAAUUCUCCUGCACCUGUCAAGUGGGUUUCCUCCGUUGUGGAAUGUAUAUGGGGUCGAGUUCAAUGUGUUUAUCUUCGUGGAGUGCCAUGCUUCCAGGAAUUCCCGUGCUUGCCUCUGCCUAGCCUGUCCCAGGAUCUUGGUGUUGUCCCAGUCGAAGUCGUGGUUCUCCUUGUCCAUGUGGAUUGAGAUGAAACAUAUCCUGCAUCCUUGUUGAACUGAAAACAUUCAUCAAGCAACUCUUCAUGAACAUGCCAGAAGCUCCUGCCCUCUAUAUGUCCCUUUGGCUUAUUAUCUGAGUUCAUAAUUGAAGUCCUGCAUUAUCACCACUCUAUAGUUUUUGCACUUCUAAUUUCCCUGCAACUUUACUUCUCUAAAUCAUUCUAGGUGCUACUUGGUAAUUCUGUUAUCAUACCUCUACUGUUUUUAAACUAGAAUCAAAUGGAUUUUGUCCUUGAUUUUAAUUGAAUGAAAAUUAAGAAACAUUUUAAUAUUAUUUUCCUUCUUUAUAUAAUUUUAAAUUAACCCCUAGAUCUGUUAAUUUAACACUGAUCAUUUAGAAAAUCGAUUUUUAGUUUUUAUGUGAAGGGACAGGAGUGUGUGUCUGCAAUUGUGUAUUUUAACUGGAGUAUAGAUGAGUCAGGAGUGACCUGAUUGAAGUUCAUAAGAUCCUGAAUGGUCUUUAUGUUAUAAGGUGUUUACAGGGCUCAUGUGGCACAGUGAUAGAGUCCCUACCUCUGGGCCAGAAGGUUUAAGUCACACCUACUCUGAAGAUGUUUCAAAACAUAUUUGAACAGAUUGAUUAAAAUAACUACAAGUUGAUUAAAUUAAAUGUUUUCCA